rnacentral:rRNA from 1 species
UACGUAGGGUGCAAGCGUUAAUCGGAAUUACUGGGCGUAAAGCGUGCGCAGGCUGUUUUGUAAGUCAGAUGUGAAAUCCCUGAGCUCAACUUAGGAACUGCGUUUGAAACUACAAGACUAGAAUAUGUCAGAGGGGGGUAGAAUUCCACGUGUAGCAGUGAAAUGCGUAGAGAUGUGGAGGAAUACCAAUGGCGAAGGCAGCCCCCCUGGGAUAAUAUUGACGCUCAUGCACGAAAGCGUGGGGGAGCAAACAGG